rnacentral:rRNA from 1 species
UACGUAGGGUGCGAGCGUUACUCGGAAUUACUGGGCGUAAAGCGUGCGUAGGUGGUUUGUUAAGUCUGUUGUGAAAGCCCCGGGCUCAACCUGGGAAUGGCAAUGGAUACUGGCAAGCUAGAGUGCGGUAGAGGGUAGUGGAAUUCCCGGUGUAGCGGUGAAAUGCGUAGAGAUCGGGAGGAACACCAGUGGCGAAGGCGGCUACCUGGACCAGCACUGGACACUGAGGCACGAAAGCGUGGGGGAGCAAACAGG